rnacentral:rRNA from 1 species
AGCAGCCGCGGUAAUUCCAGCUCCAAUAGCGUAUAUUAAAGUUGUUGCAGUUAAAAAGCUCGUAGUUGAAUUUCGGGAUCAAUACGUCGGUCGUGCUUCGGUACGUACUAACGUCAUUGAUUUCUCCCUUCUGACGAAUCGUGAUGUCAUUAAUUUGGUGUUACGGGGAGUUAGGACUGUUACUUUGAAAAAUUAGAGUGUUUAAAGCAAGCAAUCGCUCGAAUACAUUAGCAUGGAAUAAUGAAAUAGGACGUUCGAACCUAUUUUGUUGGUUUCUAGGAUCGACGUAAUGAUUAAUAGGGAUAGUUGGGGGCAUUAGUAUUCAAUUGUCAGAGGUGAAAUUCUUGGAUUUAUUGAAGACUAACUACUGCGAAAGCAUUUGCCAAGGAUGUUUUCAUUAAUCAAGAACGAAAGUUAGGGGAUCGAAGACGAUCAGAUACCGUCGUAGUCUUAACCAUAAACUAUGCCGACUAAGGGAUCGGAUGAUGUUAAUUUAUAAUGACU